UGGGGAAUUUUGGACAAUGGGCGAAAGCCUGAUCCAGCAAUGCCGCGUGCAGGAAGAAGGCCUUCGGGUUGUAAACUGCUUUUGUACGGAACGAAAAGGCUCUUUCUAAUAAAGAGGGCCCAUGACGGUACCGUAAGAAUAAGCACCGGCUAACUACGUGCCAGCAGCCGCGGUAAUACGUAGGGACCAAGCGUUGUUCGGAUUUACUGGGCGUAAAGGGCGCGUAGGCGGCAAUUCAAGUCAUCUGUGAAAUCUCCGGGCUUAACUCGGAACGGUCAGAUGAUACUGCUUUGCUAGAGUGCAGAAGGGGCAAUCGGAAUUCUUGGUGUAGCGGUGAAAUGCGUAGAUAUCAAGAGGAACACCUGAGGUGAAGACGGGUUGCUGGGCUGACACUGACGCUGAGGCGCGAAAGCCAGGGGAGCAAACGGGAUUAGAUACCCAUGUAGUCCCUGAGCGGGCUGGCAAGGCGCAU
rnacentral:rRNA from 1 species